GCGAAUGAACCCCACUCGUGACUGUGGCUAGACCUUCUAAAACUGACAUAGUUUGGGACUCUUGGUACUAUAGGAUCUAAACUUGAAUUGACCAUUUUAGAGAAAGGUUUAUCAACUAAUUAAAUGAUAUGGCUACAAAUUAUGUAGAUGAGUUUCAUGAUUUUUGUGAUGCUUCUUGAUUUACAACCUGCAGGUUUCUAGUAGCUUGAUUUUAUCAUAACUUGAUGGCACAUUAUCCAACUACAUAUGACCUUUCUGCUAUAACAAAGAAGAUAGAAAUCAAAAUUAUGAAGACAGUUCAUAACCAUUGCUUAGCUGUUGGCCUAUAACCAGACGAUUUCGGGAGAAACGUGGCUUCUAGACUUCUUUCCGAAAAUUAGGCACCAAAAAGGAAAAAACAAAAAAAGAUUUCUGUCAUAAAAUUAUUCAUAUAUGAGGAUAAGAUCAUUGAUAAAUAUUUUCUUUAAUUGUUUGACUUAUUGAUGUACCGCUGUGUAGACAACUAUUUGAGAUCAUGUAUGUAACACUUUACAUGUUUUGCGGUUC